rnacentral:rRNA from 1 species
AUUGAACGCUGGCGGCAUGCCUUACACAUGCAAGUCGAACGGUAACAGGUUAAGCUGACGAGUGGCGAACGGGUGAGUAAUGUAUCGGAACGUGCCCAGUCGUGGGGGAUAACUGCUCGAAAGAGCAGCUAAUACCGCAUACGACCUGAGGGUGAAAGCGGGGGAUCGCAAGACCUCGCGCGAUUGGAGCGGCCGAUAUCAGAUUAGGUAGUUGGUGAGGUAAAGGCUCACCAAGCCGACGAUCUGUAGCUGGUCUGAGAGGACGACCAGCCACACUGGGACUGAGACACGGCCCAGACUCCUACGGGAGGCAGCAGUGGGGAAUUUUGGACAAUGGGCGCAAGCCUGAUCCAGCCAUGCCGCGUGCGGGAAGAAGGCCUUCGGGUUGUAAACCGCUUUUGUCAGGGAAGAAAAGGUUCUGGCUAAUACCUGGGACUCAUGACGGUACCUGAAGAAUAAGCACCAGCUAACUACGUG